GGAGGGAACAGCUCAAGUGGUAGAGUGCAUGCUUAGCAAGCAUGAGGUCCUGGGUUCAACCCCCAGAAUCUCCU
rnacentral:tRNA from 1 species